CUCUUGCUCUCAUAUAAAGUUUGAGCCCAAAAGGAAGCUAAACACAUUUUUCAUAUUCAUGGAAGAAAAUUCCGCAAGGCCGAGCUUUCCCACCGACAUCUCAUCAGCGGCAACAUAUUGGCAUUUGUCCACUUCAAAAUCCCCGCAUAAAUAAGAAGUAGACGGCGAA